UACGAAGGGUGCGAGCGUUAUUCGGAAUCACUGGGCGUAAAGGGUGCGUAGGCGGUCUUCUAAGUUUGAUGUGAAAUCCCGGGGCUCAACCCUGGAAUUGCAUUGAAUACUGGAGGACUAGAGUACCGGAGAGGAAACUGGAAUUUACGGUGUAGCAGUGAAAUGCGUAGAGAUCGUAAGGAAGACCAGUGGCGAAGGCGAGUUUCUGGACGGUAACUGACGCUGAGGCACGAAGGCCAGGGGAGCAAACGGG
rnacentral:rRNA from 1 species